GAAGUCCACUGAACCUUAUCAUUUAGAGGAAGGAGAAGUCGUAACAAGGUUUCCGUAGGUGAACCUGCGGAAGGAUCAUUGUCGAUGGCCGAACGAGGGUAGACCCGCGAACACCGUGACCCCGAUCGAACGGGGGGACGCUGCGCACGUGGCGGCACCGGCGCGAGGCCGGGCGUGGCGCGGCCGGCGAUCCCCUCUCCGCCGCGGCACCGGCGCGAGGCCGGGCGCGGCGAACGACCGACGCACCCACGGCGCGAGUGGCGCCAAGGACCCCGAAGAGGAGCGCGGAGGAGGAGGGCGGGCGCAACGCCGUCCCCUCCGCCGCGAGAGGGAAAAUAUGAGUCGGACGACUCUCGGCAACGGAUAUCUCGGCUCUCGCAUCGAUGAAGAACGUAGCGAAAUGCGAUACUUGGUGUGAAUUGCAGAAUCCCGCGAACCAUCGAGUCUUUGAACGCAAGUUGCGCCCGAGGCCACCCGGCCGAGGCACGCCUGCCUGGGCGUCACGCACCGCGCUGCCCGCACCGCCCCCGACGGGGCCUGCGGGCCGAGAUUGGCCGACCGUGCGCCUCGCGCGCCCCGCGGGCCGAAAGCUAUGUAUCUCUCGGAGUGCCCCCGGAGGGGGCGUCGACAGCGUUGGUGGUCUCUAGGCUCCCGGAACCGGU
rnacentral:rRNA from 1 species